rnacentral:rRNA from 1 species
GACAGAGGGUGCAAACGUUGUUCGGAAUUACUGGGCGUAAAGCGAGUGUAGGCGGUGUGGUAAGUCGGAUGUGAAAGCCCCGGGCUCAACCCGGGAAGUGCACUCGAUACUGCCACGCUAGAGUAUCGGAGAGGUUGGUGGAAUUCUCGGUGUAGAGGUGAAAUUCGUAGAUAUCGGGAGGAACACCAAUGGCGAAGGCAGCUCGCUGGGACGGUACUGACGCUGAGACGCGAAAGCGUGGGGAGCAAACAGG